GAGUGAGAUGUUUGUAGUCAGGCCAGAUUUCUAGGCAGGUGAGAGAGUGAGAUGUUUGUAUGUGUGUAGUCAGGCCAGAUUUCUAGGCAGGUGAGAGAGUGAGAUGUUUGUAUGUGUGUAGUCAGGCCAGAUUUCCAGGCAGGUGAGAGAGUGAGAUGUUUGUAUGUGUGUAGUCAGGCCAGAUUUCUAGGCAGGUGAGAGAGUGAGAUGUUUGUAUGUGUGUAGUCAGGCCAGAUUUCCAGGCAGGUGAGAGAGUGAGAUGUUUGUACGUGUGUAGUCAGGCCAGAUUUCUAGGCAGGUGAGAGAGUGAGAUGUUUGUAGUCAGGCCAGAUUUCCAGGCAGGUGAGAGAGUGAGAUGUUUGUAUGUGUGUAGUCAGGCCAGAUUUCCAGGCAGGUGAGAGAGUGAGAUCUUCUAAACAGACUGGCUGCCAUGUUGCUGAUGGUAGUGAGCUUGGUGUGAUCAGUAUUGUAAUGCCUUUUAGUUCUGACUGCAGUGACUAAUUUAUCUCACAAUGUAUGACUGUUAAUACCCCUCUCUCUC